UGCUCGCGACCGCGCCUGCGCGCCGCACGGCCGCACCACGCAGUGACGUUAUCCCAGUUGCCAUAUUACCACCACCUCAAACAACUCGCAACCCUGUGGCCCCUUAGGGCUGUCUCCAGAACGAGCAUAGAUAUAUUUUGAUUCUCCUCGGAUGGGAUUCACUUGCCUGUACAGAUGGGGAGUACUGAGACAAGAAAGUAUCGCUGUCUUCCAACAACGUGUGCUUCUUAAAGCGCCCUUCAAAAGAAUAUUAUUACAAGUCAUCACUGUCCUGUGAAGAAAAAUUAUGGCAUCCCUCAUGACGUUAACGGACAAGCAUUGAACUACCUACAAAAUACGGUCACAAAAUAAGUCUGCUGCUAAUUGGUG